GACGAACGCUGGCGGCGUGCUUAACACAUGCAAGUCGAACGAAGAGCGAUGGAAGCUUGCUUCUAUCAAUCUUAGUGGCGAACGGGUGAGUAACGCGUAAUCAACCUGCCCUUCAGUGGGGGACAACAGUUGGAAACGACUGCUAAUACCGCAUACGAUCUAACCUCGGCAUCGAGGAUAGAUGAAAGGUGGCCUCUACAUGUAAGCUAUCACUGAAGGAGGGGAUUGCGUCUGAUUAGCUAGUUGGAGGGGUAACGGCCCACCAAGGCGAUGAUCCGUAGCCGGUCUGAGAGGAUGAACGGCCACAUUGGGACUGAGACACGGCCCAGACUCCUACGGGAGGCAGCAGUGGGGAAUCUUCCGCAAUGGACGAAAGUCUGACGGAGCAACGCCGCGUGAGUGAUGACGGCCUUCGGGUUGUAAAGCUCUGUUAAUCGGGACGAAAGGCCUCCUUGCGAAUAGUUAGAAGGAUUGACGGUACCGGAAUAGAAAGCCACGGCUAACUACGUG
rnacentral:rRNA from 1 species